UACGUAGGGUGCAAGCGUUGUCCGGAAUUAUUGGGCGUAAAGAGCUCGUAGGCGGUUUGUCGCGUCGAGUGUGAAAACCCGGGGCUCAACCCCGGGCCUGCAUUCGAUACGGGCAGACUAGAGUUCGGUAGGGGAGUCUGGAAUUCCUGGUGUAGCGGUGAAAUGCGCAGAUAUCAGGAGGAACACCGGUGGCGAAGGCGGGACUCUGGGCCGAUACUGACGCUGAGGAGCGAAAGCGUGGGGAGCAAACAGG
rnacentral:rRNA from 1 species